rnacentral:rRNA from 1 species
UACGGAGGGUGCGAGCGUUGUCCGGAAUCACUGGGCGUAAAGGGCGCGUAGGUGGCGCGGGAAGUCAACGGUGAAAGUUCGGGGCUCAACCCUGAAUCGGCCGUCGAUACUCCCGGGCUCGAGCACUGUAGAGGCAGAUGGAAUUCCGGGUGUAGCGGUGGAAUGCGUAGAUAUCGGAAGGAACAUCGGUGGCGAAAGCGGCGCGCUGGACCUCUUCUGACGCUGAGGCGCGAAAGCCAGGGGAGCAAACGGG